rnacentral:rRNA from 1 species
UACGUAGGGGGCUAGCGUUGUCCGGAAUUAUUGGGCGUAAAGGGCUUGUAGGCGGUCUGUCGCGUCUGCUGUGAAAAUCCGGGGCUCAACCCCGGACUUGCAGUGGGUACGGGCAGACUAGAGUGUGGUAGGGGAGACUGGAAUUCCUGGUGUAGCGGUGAAAUGCGCAGAUAUCAGGAGGAACACCGAUGGCGAAGGCAGGUCUCUGGGCCACUACUGACGCUGAGAAGCGAAAGCAUGGGGAGCGAACAGG